ACAACUGGGAGAUAUAUGGUGUAAAUCCUUAUUAUUGUUACAUGUAGCAUGCCAUGGUACAACGACACUUUUGCAUCCUUCGCAGCCAUGUGAUACUGAUGAUGAUAACGAAAAACAA
rnacentral:ribozyme from 1 species